rnacentral:rRNA from 1 species
CGGGACGGUGAGUAACGCGUGGGCAACCUGCCUUACACAGGGGGAUAACACUUAGAAAUAGGUGCUAAUACCGCAUAAGCGCACAGCUUUGCAUGAAGCAGUGUGAAAAACUCCGGUGGUGUAAGAUGGACCCGCGUCUGAUUAGCUGGUUGGCAGGGUAAAGGCCUACCAAGGCGACGAUCAGUAGCCGGCCUGAGAGGGUGAACGGCCACAUUGGGACUGAGACACGGCCCAGACUCCUACGGAAGGCAGCAG